rnacentral:rRNA from 1 species
AUGAAGAACGCAGCGAAAUGCGAUACGUAGUGUGAAUUGCAGAAUUCCGCGAAUCAUCGAGUCUUUGAACGCAAGUUGCGCCCGAGGCUUGUCCGAGGGCAUUCCCGUUAGAGCGUCACCGCGCCACCCACCCACUCCGCUCCGGAGAUGGAUGGAACUGGCCGUCCCGAAUCACCCUUCGGGUCGGCUGAAAUGGAUGGAAUUCGGCCCCGCGGCGACACAGCCCGCGACCAGGUGAUCCGCGCCGCGAUUGACUUCGCGGCCGCGGCUUAUUUAAAGCGGCCCCUCUGUCGCCCAGUCGGCCGUCAGUUCCGUACGAAGCAGGUCUUCCUCCCGCGGCUCCCUCGGGGGCCGCCGGGGGGAAAAAACACAUGGUCACGCAACGGACCUCUAAUCGGGAAAGAACACCCGCUGAGUUUAAGCAUAUCAAUAAGCGGAGGAAGA